rnacentral:misc_RNA from 1 species
UACGGAGGGGGCUAGCGUUGUUCGGAAUUACUGGGCGUAAAGGGCGCGUAGGCGGCCGCAGCAGUCAGGCGUGAAAGCCCCGGGCUCAACCUGGGAAUUGCGCUUGAGACGCUGUGGCUGGAGGUCGGGAGAGGAGAGCGGAAUUCCCAGUGUAGAGGUGAAAUUCGUAGAUAUUGGGAAGAACACCGGUGGCGAAGGCGGCUCUCUGGCCCGUACCUGACGCUGAGGCGCGAAAGCGUGGGGAGCAAACAGG